AUCCUUUUGUAGUUCAUAAGCAUGAUUGGGUUUUCACACUUGUGUGUGAAAUGUACCUCCCUCAAACCUUGUUAACAGCACCAGCACAUUACCUAUCUGACA